rnacentral:lncRNA from 1 species
UGAGUGGGUCUGAGACAAAGAUCUGGACAAACAUCUGAACACAGUUUCCUAUACCUCCUACUGGAAGUGUCCUGUAUAUGCCAUUUUUCACUAAAAAGGAGCAGACAGCAGCAAUAUGUAACUUCAAUCUGAAAUACGAAAUGCAAGAUGAGUCUGAAGUACAAAAAGACAAAAAGACUGGGAAAACUCUGAGAUCUAAUAAAGACAAGCCUUUUGCACAGCUUUACCAAGAAACCAAGAGACAUAUGUCACCCAGCCAUGUCAUGUUAAUGUAGCAACCAAGAAAGAAGAAGAGGCAAAAAAGGGUACUGCAUGUGAUAUCAGGAUUAACAGUUUUUACCUCUGAAAAACAGGGCACUAGUUUUUCACCCUUCAAUAUCUGAG